ensembl:lncRNA
AAAAUAUCCAAACUACUGAUUGCCAUGGAGAAAGGGUCUCUCAAAAGCCUUCAAGGCAAAACACUUGAAGAGAUUGAAAUCGAAGAUAACCUACAGUUGACAGAUUCAAGUGAAGAAAGUGAGGUCGGAGUGGAGCGUGAGGAGGUCGGAGCGGAGCGUGAGGAGGUCGGAGCGGAGCGUGAGGAGGUCGGAGCGGAGCGUGAGGUCAAUGAAGGAAAUCUUGUAUAUCCACAGAUUGAUUCUAUAGAUACUAGAAUGAUGAAGAAAGUUGUCAAGGAACCUCCAGCACAAAGUAAAAAUGGAGCGGGUAAGGUCAUUGAACCCAACAGAAUACUAAACAAGGAGAUGAAGCCAAGCAGUAAGAAGAAAACAAAUAAACAAUCUGCUUCUCUGGAAAAUGCAAGGAGGGUCAAAAAAGCAUCCUUGGUCUCCCACGGAGGUUGCUGCGAUAAUGAAGCAUUUUGGCGAACAUAUCAAAAA